CUGGCGGCAGGCCUAACACAUGCAAGUCGAGCGGAUGAAGGGAGCUUGCUCCCGGAUUCAGCGGCGGACGGGUGAGUAAUGCCUAGGAAUCUGCCUGGUAGUGGGGGACAACGUUCCGAAAGGAGCGCUAAUACCGCAUACGUCCUACGGGAGAAAGUGGGGGAUCUUCGGACCUCACGCUAUCAGAUGAGCCUAGGUCGGAUUAGCUAGUAGGUGGGGUAAUGGCUCACCUAGGCGACGAUCCGUAACUGGUCUGAGAGGAUGAUCAGUCACACUGGAACUGAGACACGGUCCAGACUCCUACGGGAGGCAGCAGUGGGGAAUAUUGGACAAUGGGCGAAAGCCUGAUCCAGCCAUGCCGCGUGUGUGAAGAAGGUCUUCGGAUUGUAAAGCACUUUAAGUUGGGAGGAAGGGCAGUAAGUUAAUACCUUGCUGUUUUGACGUUACCAACAGAAUAAGCACCGGCUAACUUCGUGCCAGCA
rnacentral:rRNA from 1 species